UCCCUCAUAGCUCAGUUGGUAAAGAAUCUGCCUGCAAUGCAGGAGACCCUGGUUCGAUUCCUGGGUUGGGAA
rfam:Ovis aries breed Texel chromosome 1, whole genome shotgun sequence.